rnacentral:rRNA from 1 species
AGUAAAUAGAUACCCGGGUAGUCCACGCUGUAAACGAUCGGUACUAGAGAUGGUGGGAGUUGACCCCCGCCGUCUCGGAGCUAAACGCGAUAAGUACCGCGCCUGGGAAGUACGGUCGCAAGACUAAAACUCAAAGGAAUUGACGGGAGCCCGCACAAGCGGUGGAUUAUGUGGUUUAAUUCGAAAGCAACGCGCAGAACCUUACCUAGGUUUGACAUCCUCUGACAAUACUAGAGAUAGUACUUUCAUAGCAAUAUGACAGAGAGACAGGUGCUGCAUGGCUGUCGUCAGCUCGUGUGGUGGCAUGUCGGUUAAGUCCCUCAACGAGCGCAACCCCUGUGUUUAGUUGCCAGCAUUAAGUUGGGCACUCUAGACAGACUGCCGUGGUUAACACGGAGGAAGGCGGGGAUGACGUCAAGUCCUCAUGGCCCUUACACCUAGGG